rnacentral:rRNA from 1 species
UACGAACUGUGCAAACGUUAUUCGGAAUCACUGGGCUUAAAGGGUGCGUAGGCGGCCAUUUAAGUAGGGUGUGAAAGCCCCCGGCUCAACCGGGGAAUUGCGUCCUAAACUGGAUGGCUGGAGUGGGACAGAGGUGUGUGGAACUUCCGGUGGAGCGGUGAAAUGUGUUGAUAUCGGAAGGAACGCCGGUGGCGAAAGCGACACACUGGGUCUCAACUGACGCUGAGGCACGAAAGCCAGGGGAGCGAACGGG